rnacentral:rRNA from 1 species
CGACGCUUUUUCUUUCACCGGAGCUUGCUCCACCGAAAGAAAAAGAGUGGCGAACGGGUGAGUAACACGUGGGUAACCUGCCCAUCAGAAGGGGAUAACACUUGGAAACAGGUGCUAAUACCGUAUAACACUAUUUUCCGCAUGGAAGAAAGUUGAAAGGCGCUUUUGCGUCACUGAUGGAUGGACCCGCGGUGCAUUAGCUAGUUGGUGAGGUAACGGCUCACCAAGGCAACGAUGCAUAGCCGACCUGAGAGGGUGAUCGGCCACACUGGGACUGAGACACGGCCCAGACUCCUACGGGAGGCAGCAGUAGGGAAUCUUCGGCAAUGGACGAAAGUCUGACCGAGCAACGCCGCGUGAGUGAAGAAGGUUUUCGGAUCGUAAAACUCUGUUGUUAGAGAAGAACAAGGAUGAGAGUAAAAUGUUCAUCCCUUGACGGUAUCUAACCAGAAAGCCACGGCUAACUACGUGCCAGCAGCCGCGGUAAUACGUAGGUGGCAAGCGUUGUCCGGAUUUAUUGGGCGUAAAGC